UACGGGGGGGGCAAGCGUUGUUCGGAAUUACUGGGCGUAAAGGGCUCGUAGGCGGCCAACUAAGUCAGACGUGAAAUCCCUCGGCUUAACCGGGGAACUGCGUCUGAUACUGGAUGGCUAGAGUUUGGGAGAGGGAUGCGGAAUUCCAGGUGUAGCGGUGAAAUGCGUAGAUAUCUGGAGGAACACCGGUGGCGAAGGCGGCAUCCUGGACCGGCAUUGACGCUGAGGAGCGAAAGCCAGGGGAGCAAACGGG
rnacentral:rRNA from 1 species